AUGCUUACCUGGCAGGGGAGAUACCAUGAUCACAAAGGUGGUUUUCCCAGGACCAGGCUUAUCCAUCACACUUCUGAUGUGCUGACCUCUGGGAUUUCCCCAAAUACAGGAAACUUGACUGCGUAAUCUGUUGUAGUAGGGGACUCGUGUCGCGUUCACCCCUG
ensembl:snRNA U1 U1 spliceosomal RNA